CGUGGGAGACGAGCGUUAUCCGGAUUUACUGGGCGUAAAGCGUGUGCAGGCGGUUCGGCAAGUUGGAUGUGAAAUCUCCCGGCUCAACUGGGAGGGGUCGUUCAAUACUACCGAACUUGAGGUCAUCAGAGGAAGGUGGAAUUCCGGGUGUAGUGGUGAAAUGCGUAGAUAUCCGGAGGAACACCAGUGGCGAAGGCGGCCUUCUGGGAUGAUCCUGACGCUCAGACACGAAAGCUAGGGGAGCGAACGGGAUUAGAGACCCCGGUAGUCCUAGCUGUAAACGAUGUAGACUUGGCGUCGGAGGGUUCAAAACCUUCGGUGUCGUAGCUAACGCGAUAAGUCUACCGCCUGGGGACUACGGCCGCAAGGUUA
rnacentral:rRNA from 1 species